AUUGAACGCUGGCGGCAUGCUUUACACAUGCAAGUCGAACGGUAACAGGCCUUCGGGUGCUGACGAGUGGCGAACGGGUGAGUAAUGCAUCGGAACGUGCCCAGAGGUGGGGGAUAACGCAGCGAAAGCUGUGCUAAUACCGCAUGUGAUCUGAGGAUGAAAGCGGGGGACCAAGCAGCAAUGUUUGGCCUCGCGCCUCUGGAGCGGCCGAUGUCAGAUUAGGUAGUUGGUGGGGUAAAGGCCUACCAAGCCGACGAUCUGUAGCUGGUCUGAGAGGACGACCAGCCACACUGGGACUGAGACACGGCCCAGACUCCUACGGGAGGCAGCAGUGGGGAAUUUUGGACAAUGGGCGCAAGCCUGAUCCAGCAAUGCCGCGUGCGGGAAGAAGGCCUUCGGGUUGUAAACCGCUUUUGUACGGAACGAAAAGGCUCUCGCUAAUACCUGGGGCUGAUGACGGUACCGUAAGAAUAAGCACCGGCUAACUACGUG
rnacentral:rRNA from 1 species